rnacentral:SRP_RNA from 1 species
CCGUACUAGACGGGGAGGUAGCGGUGCCCUGUAACCUGCAAUCCGCUAUAGCAGGGUUGAAGUCCUACGCCGAGGCAUACUAUUGUACAGUCUGGUCGGUGCAAGUGGCGAAGAAGACUGGGUCCUGUGCAACGGAAAUUUACGAACCCCGCCAGGUCCGGGAGGAAGCAACGGUAAGUAAACACUUCCGUGUGCCGCAGGGUUACCUGGUCAGAGCUGGCUGCACUGGUGCCGUGUGUAAUGGUGUGUCAAGGGUAGGUGUACGG